GGACGGACACGGGAGGUGCUGUCCGUUCGGUGUCUGUUCGACGCGCCCGAACCGAACCAAAUUGGUAGCAGUUUCGUGGCGUGACAGAUAAUGUGGUAUCAGAGCAAGUUAAGAGCAAGUAAAGAGAGAGUCUAGGAUGGACUUAGGGGACCUUAGGACGGUGAACCUUAAUGCUAUAGGUGCGUGAGUGAGGCGUGAACCUAUAACGGUGGCGGAAGUUGAUCGAUUGGGUCAGAAUUGACGUGUGUUUCUAGUGGUCGCUGGAAACAGAUUCAAGUAGUAUUAGUUCUUGACCCGAGGCGGUUGCAUCGGCGGCCGACGACGUGACGCUAAGAGUCUAGAACGAGUACGCUUGUGUACUUCCGCCUGAUUUGAAUCGCCGAGUCGGUUUGUUUCGUAGUUGUAGUGAGGUAAAUGGGUUAAGGUAAUUAACUGAGUUGUUUCGUUUCAGGAAGCAAUGCCUCAUGGUCGACCCCGA
rnacentral:lncRNA from 1 species